AAUAAUAAUUUGGCAAUAAAAUUUGGUAUUAUUAAAGGAAAACGAGCAGAGGCUUGAAGUAGUGGUCAGUAAUUUAAACUUUCGUAGGAAAGGUCUCAUCCUUCUUACAAACUGGAAUAUGACUUUUGAAUCACACUUCUGGAAAAAUACGGUGUUUAGUUCUAAGACUAAGAAAGUGUAUAUUAAAAUUGAAAAUUAAUAUUGUUAAUUUGUCUUCAUUGCUAAUGUCAUCUGAACUUAAGGAAGAUUUUGACAUCUGUUUAUAAAAAUUACCAAUUAAUUAGUGUUUGUACUGGCAUGAACUACUGAGUUAAUGAAAAAUUAGAUUAACUUAUCUAUAAAGUUUAUACAUUAUUUGCUGUCUUUACAACUUUGCAAGAACUUUUAUCUUUCAUAGUUUAUUAAAAAGUAAUGGGGAAAAUAAGAAAGAACUCAAUAUUUUUGAGAAGUUAGCCUUAGUAUUUGCUUUAUUAUGAUUAAUUAUUUUUAACAAACAUUGUUUGCUCAUUAUAGAAAAAUGAGAAAAGGGAAGAGAAGAACAUAAAAACCACCAAUAAUGUCCUUAAGAUAUGGAUGCACUCACAUUCUGCUCUGACAGUUUUUGUCACUUGCCCCUUUCUGGGCCCAGUUGUACUGCCUACCUCGUUCCCCUUUUCUGUGCUCCCCUUUCCACACCUGUUUGCUGGUGAGUCUGUUUUCUGUCUUGUGUAUUUCUGGUUUUGUCUCUAUGCAUUCAUCUCCCUGUGUUGUCUCUUUCUGGCCAUCUGAUUUCAUGUAUAUGGGUAUUAACCUUGAGAAGAUCUAAAAGACCAUGAAAGUGAGAAUAAAAGUAUCAGUUGAACUUUAUUAAGAGCAAGUUUAAUUGUUGACCUCAGUUGGAUCAAAAAAAAAAGAGUCUUUAGUGCGUAGUGAGCAGUGCCUGGUGAUCCUGCUGUAUUUUCUUCUUAGGGUCAUUUUCCUACUCUUUGAGAUAGUUUUACUGCCUUCUAUAUCCUCAUAUCUCUCAUGUGUGCUACCCUCUCCCAUCUUCCCUCAGUCACCUUCUAUAUCAUAGGAAGUAUUAGCUGAAUGUCCAAAGCUAUACUUGGCACCUUUGUUCUCUCUUUUUUUAGUACACAGAAAACAGUUCCUUUUCUUAUCAAAUUUCAGUCCGUUCUCUUGUGCUCUGGAUUCCAUUCUCUCACAUUCUCAUUUUAUUUUCUGUCCCUCCUGCCACUAGUUUUUACCCAUGUCAUGAAUUAUUCCUAUUGGCAUAUAAUACUGCUCUAGAGGUUCAUAUGCCCAGUGCUUGGGUACAUAUUUGUCAAGGUCUUGGGUGAUCUCUCUCUCUCUCUCUGUCUCUGUCUCUCUCUCUCUCUCUGUCUCUUUCUAUCAGUCUCUCUUUCAGUUUGUUUCCCUUUUACCUUGGCAUCCCACUUUGUACAAACCCUAGGUUUUAAAUCUGUGCCCUUAGCAGCCAUCUAUAUGGAAUUUGAAAUGUCUCUGGGACUUUAAAGAAAUAGUCCGAAGGGCACCUGGGUAGCUCAGUCCGUUAAGCGUCCUACUCUUGAUUUUGGUCCAGGUCAUGAUCUCACAGUGUGUGAGACUGAACCCAUGUCAGGCUUGGUACUGACAGUGAAGAAGCUGCUUGGGAUUGUUUCUCCCUUUCUCUCUGCCCCUCCCCUCCUCAAAAUAAAAAACUUAAAAAAGAAAUAGAAAUAAAGCAAUACCUUGCUUUAUUCAUAUGAUAUUUAUGUCAUAUUUUAUUAUUUAAGAUAAUGUGUAAUAUUGUCUUCGUAUGGGCUGUUAUAACAAAAGUGCUAUAGACUCAGUGGCUUAAACAACAAACAUUUACUUCUCAAGAGUUCUGGAGGUUGGGAAGUUCAAGAUCAAGGCAGAUUCUGUGUCUGGUGAGGGCCUGCUUCCUGGUUUAUAGGUGGCCAUCCUCAUAUUGCUGAAGCGGCAAGAGAGCUGUCUGAGAUCUUUUACAAGGGCACUAAUCACAUUCCUGAGGGUUCCACCCUUCUGACCUAAUCACCUCCCUAAAACCCCAUCUCCUAAUACCAUCACAUUGGGAGUUAGGAUUUCAAUAUAACUUCAACAUAAUUCCAAUAUGAGGAUACACAUUCAGUUUAUAUCAAACAUGUAAUGUGUAUAAUAUGUAAUGUAAUAAGUGAUUUUUUUAUAUCCUUUAGUUAUCACCAGGAUGGUUGUUCAGAGUAUUUAGUAUAAUGAAUCGCCAGAAGCAAAUGUCUUUUUUCACUCUUUAUCCCUUUCUAGUCUGGCUUCCAUCCUUAGUACCCACUGAACUACUCAUUGAUGACCCGGAUUUUCCUGCUCCUUUGGCUAGAGAGGGCAGGUUUUUUUGUAAGUGUUCACUGAAGUUUCCAGGUUGCCAGCUUCUCCAGCACCCAGUGUGGAAUAUAUGAUGCAAAAGAAAACCCAGAGUAUUCAUCAUUGUAUCAGUGCUUGGAUCCCAAGAUCCUUAGCUGGUCUUCCUUCUCUUCACCUUUCAGAGUUUUCUUGUGUUUGUUUUAUAUAUAAUGUCUAGGGAUGUUAGGUGUGCUCAACAGGAAGAAUAGGGAAAAGUGUAUCUAUUCCUUUCUGUCUGCAACUGGAAAUCUGACCACUUUAAAAGUUGGAUUAUUUCUCUUUUUAUUAUUGAAUUGUAAGAGUUAUUUAUCUACUCUGGAUGCAAGUCUUGUCGAUAGUUUGAUUGCCUCCUAUUUGCCCUGUUGGCUAGGGAAGGAUUCCUGUUCUGGGCUCACAGGGAUGGCUGAACAUAAACUAACCUGACACUGGACAGAUGAAGUCAACAGCAGUUUAUUAUUCAAAAGACUCAUGGCCCAGGAGGACACUGUAUGCCAUGAAGGGCCAUAUGAGGAUUGGACUCGGGAACGAAAUGAACAACCACGGGCUGAGAGAGGCAAGGUUUAUAGUAUCAAGAGGAUGAGGUGCCCCUUGGUUCCUGGAGCAUAUGAUUGGCUUGUUAGAAUAAUUCUGUGGGCUGACAGGGAACUGAAACCUGCUGUUUAGGCAUACGCAGGCUCUGUGAAGAGGAGGGGUGUUUGACAGCAGGCCCCUAUCUGUGGGAGCAGAGUGGGGAGGGAACUUGUAGUUAGGCCACAUGAAGCUCUCCCCUCACCUGUUGACAAAGGAGUGCAUAAUACUGGGUCUCAAUUUUCGACUUUACACCACAAUCAGAUAUAUGUGAUGUUAUGUUUUUUUCUUAGUCUGUGGUUUGCUUUUCAUUUUGUUCAUGGUGUCUUUCAAAGAGAAGUUUUUAAUUUUGGUGAAGUCCAGUUUGUCAGCCUUUUCUCUUAUGGAUAGUGCUUUUUGGGUCGUUCUAUGAAUUUUUUUCCCUAGCUCAGUGUCAUAGAGGCUUUCUCCUAUGUGUACCAAUGGUACUUAAAAAAAUUCAUUUUAAUGUGUAUAUUUAAGUCUGUGGUUUCUUUUAAAAUAUUGUGUAUGGUAUGGGAUAGUGGUUGAGGUUCAUUUUUUCCAUAUGGAUAUGGAAACCACAGCUCUUUAUAUAGUUGUUUCAGUACUAUUUGUUGAAAUAUUACCUUUUCCUAUUGAAUUAAAUUUUUGCUUUUGUGGGAAAUCAAUUGACCUUAUAUGUGUGGUUCUGUUUCUUUAUGCUCUUUGAUCCAGACAUACAGAUUUCCCGCUUUUAAGGUGUGCCAAGUUUUUUCUUAUCUCUGGACAUCUGUAUGCUGAUCCCCAUGUCUUACCUGUUCUUUUACUUUUCUGCCUGGUUAAUAUCUUAUUAUCCUUCAGGUCUCAUUACAGAUAAUUACUUUUUCAGUAAACUUCACUUGAGUCACAUGUAGGAUAGAUGCUUAUUCCAUGUGCUUCUGGGGAAUUGUAUUUCCUAUCCUUUUGAUAAUGAUUAUUCUGAGAUACACUUAUUUAUCAAAUAUCUAUUGUUGUCAGACACUGUUCUGGUUGCUGGAGAUAUGACAGUGAGUAAAAUAGUCAACAAUCUUUAUCCUGGCGCCCCUCUACUGGGAUUUUCUGAUUAGUGUGCUCUAAAAUGUAAUUACUUUCUUUCAUAUCUUUUUCAAGAAGCCUGUAAGCUUCCUGAGGAUGGGACUUUGUGCCUUAUUUUAUCAUUUUGUUCUCAGCACCGUAGAAUAAUGGCUGGAACACAGUAAUCACACUCGGUACACACAUUUUGAGUGAAUGAUUGAAUAUUGUAGGUGGAAACUUACAGUGAAGAAACUAGUAAAGUCAAAGGCAGAACAAAGCUAUCGUGGCAAAAAAAAUAUGCAAAUGAUGCAUUCCUUUAAGGAAU